rnacentral:rRNA from 1 species
UGGGGAAUAUUGGACAAUGGGCUAAAGCCUGAUCCAGCCAUGCCGCGUGUGUGAAGAAGGUCUUCGGAUUGUAAAGCACUUUAAGUUGGGAGGAAGGGUUGUAGAUUAAUACUCUGCAAUUUUGACGUUACCGACAGAAUAAGCACCGGCUAACUCUGUGCCAGCAGCCGCGGUAAUACAGAGGGUGCAAGCGUUAAUCGGAAUUACUGGGCGUAAAGCGCGCGUAGGUGGUUAGUUAAGUUGGAUGUGAAAUCCCCGGGCUCAACCUGGGAACUGCAUUCAAAACUGACUGACUAGAGUAUGGUAGAGGGUGGUGGAAUUUCCUGUGUAGCGGUGAAAUGCGUAGAUAUAGGAAGGAACACCAGUGGCGAAGGCGACCACCUGGACUGAUACUGACACUGAGGUGCGAAAGCGUGGGGAGCAAACA